rnacentral:rRNA from 1 species
UACGUAGGGCGCAAGCGUUAUCCGGAAUUAUUGGGCGUAAAGAGCUCGUAGGCGGUUUGUCGCGUCUGCUGUGAAAACCCGAGGCUCAACCUCGGGCCUGCAGUGGGUACGGGCAGACUAGAGUGCGGUAGGGGAGAUUGGAAUUCCUGGUGUAGCGGUGAAAUGCGCAGAUAUCAGGAGGAACACCGAUGGCGAAGGCAGGUCUCUGGGCCACUACUGACGCUGAGAAGCGAAAGCAUGGGGAGCGAAGCAGG